CACCCCUUACCAUUCCGAACAGGGAAGUUAAGACCGUUUGCGCCGAUGGUACUGCUAUACCAAGUGGGAGAGUAGGUAGCCGCCUUUUU
rnacentral:rRNA from 2 species